UAAAUGCAGACUUUGCCUAUGACUUCUUUUCAAGAUGGCCGCUACCUACGUUCCGGUUAGUGUUGUGAAGCAUAGACGAAAUAAAACUAGCAAUAUCAAUAUCGAACAGGAACCUAAAAAAUAGGUUUUUGAUUCUGCCGAGGAAGAUUGCUUUCUGGAAGGAUUGGAUCCACGUUUAGAUCUGGUGGAGGAUGCAGAGGAUUUGGAUGAUGCCACCCCUCCCCAGCAAGCACCCUCGCCUGUCAUGGUCUAAACGGUUCUACAUGGUUCUACAUGCACUUUUCAUAGACCUCUUGAAAAAGAGGGUCCUGUGGCACCAUUUGUUUUAACAGAAUCAGUUUCCCGAAGACCAAGGUAAAUGACAUGACAAAGACCAAGGUAAAUGACAUGACAAAGACAGAGAGGUGGACCAUAUGUUGGGACAGGACUAACAAGCUGCCUUUUGUGAAAUGGAUGGACACUUGGGAAGUAACCAUGCUCACCACACAGCAUCAAGUAUUCAAUAAAAAACAUGUCUCAAGGAGGGUGAGAAAUGCCAGUAGGGCAUGGGUGAGGAAGAAUGUCUCCAUUCCUGUUUCUGUGAAGGACUACAAUGCCAGCAUGGGGGGCGAUGUCGACCUAUCUGAUGCUCUGGCUACUACCAGGUCCUCCACAAGUCCAGGAAGUGAUAGAGAAUUGUCCAAUGGAGGUCCGUGGACAACUCUGCUCGGGGGGCUUCAGAGAUGUCUGGAUUUCACCCACAUUAACAUCAACCGGCACAUGCAUCUGUAUCUGCUGUUCAGACUCCUCCAUUGAGAACUGCAUUGAACUUGUCAAUGUUCAAUAAGAAAAGAUUUUGGGGGCUCUCAUGUGUCUGCAGCAAGACCAGCCCUAAAUUUGGCAAGGAAGCCUGCUCAGGUGAAUCAAAUACAGGCAAAACUGUGAAAAGCUUGGUUUGUGUUGAUCUGUUUUUAUAACAGUAUACCUUAAAUAAUCUUAAUGUAAUUAUACACUACUGUUCAAAAGUUUGGGGUCACUUAGAAAUGUCCUUGUUUUCCAUGAAAACAUACAUGAAAUGAACUGCAAAAUGAAUAGGAAAUAUAUUUAAGACGUUGAUAAGGUUAUAAAUUAUGAUUUUUUUUUUACAUUUAAAUAAUAAUUAUGUCCUUAAAACUUUGCUUUCGUCAAAGAAUCCUCAAUUUGCAGCAAUUACAGCCUUGCAGACCUUUGGCAUUCUAGUUGUUCAUUUGUUGAGGUAAUCUGAAGAGAUUUCAUCCCAUGCUUCCUGAAGCACCUCACAUAAAUUGGUUGGCUUGAUGGGCAAUUCUUACUGCUGCUUCCACAACAGCUCAAUAGGGUUGAGAUCCGGUGACUGUGCUGGCCACUCCAUCAUAGACAGAAUACCAGCUGGCUACUUCUUCCCUAAAUAGUUAUUGCGUAGUUUGGAGCUGUGCUUUGGGUCAUUGUCCUGUUGUAGGAGGAAAUUGGCUCCAAUUCAGUGCUGCCCACAGGCUAUGGCAUAGCGUUGCAAAAUGGAGUGAUAGCCUUCCUUCUUCAAGAUGCCUUUUACCCUGUACAAAUCUCCCACUUUACCACCACCAAAGCACCCCCAGACCAUCACAUUGCCUCUACCAUGCUUGACAGAUGGCGUCAAGCACUCCUCCAGCAAGCACUCCUCUUACGAAUGUUCUUAUUUGUGAUCCGAACAUUCGUCUGUCCAUAACACAUUUUUCCAAUCUUCCUCUGUCCAGUGUCUGUGUUCUUUUGCCCAUCUUAAUUUUUUAUUUUUAUUGGUCAGUCUGAGAUACGG